rnacentral:misc_RNA from 1 species
GGAAGGAUCAUUAAAAUAUAGAAUUUAUUUUCUGUAAACCCAAUCUGUGUAUUUGUACCUGUUGCUUUCGUGAGCCGGUGAACGCAAGUUCGCCCUCUGGUGUCAUUCCACGGAAUGACGUUACCAUAGAGUGCUCACGGAAGGUCUUCAUAAACUCUGUUUUUUUUGAACUCAGUCUGAAUAUUGUUUAUAAUUAAACUUUAAAACUUUCAACAACGGAUCUCUUGGUUCUCGCAUCGAUGAAGAACGCAGCGAAAUGCGAUAAGUAGUGUGAAUUGCAGAAUUCAGUGAAUCAUCGAAUCUUUGAACGCACAUUGCGCCUCCUGGUAUUCCGGGAGGCAUGCCUGUUCGAGCGUCAUUAAAAUCACUCAAGCUUAGGUUUACCUAUUGCUUGGUCUUGGAGAUGGAAGCCAAUUCAUUGGAAUCCUCUUCGAAAUUCAAUGGCGAAGACCCUUGCUCUCCCAAGUGUAGUAAUAACUUAUGUCACUGAAGGAAGCGAGAAAUCUUCUGCCGUAACCCCCAUAUUUUCUAUGAUUGACCUCGGAUCAGGUAGGGAUACCCGCUGAACUUAAGCAUAUCAAUAAGCGGAGGAAAAGAAACCAACAGGGAUUGCCUUAGUAACUGCGAGUGAAGCGGCAAAAGCUCAAAUUUGAAAUCUGGCGUCUUCGACGUCCGAGUUGUAAUUUGGAGAGACAUCUUCGGAGUAGACGCCGUCCUAAGUUCCUUGGAACAGGACGUCACAGAGGGUGAGAAUCCCGUGCCUGGAUGGCUGUUCUACUUCAUGUGAAGUGUCUUCGACGAGUCGAGUUGUUUGGGAAUGCAGCUCAAAAUGGGAGGUAAAUUUCUUCUAAAGCUAAAUAUUGGCGAGAGACCGAUAGCGCACAAGUAGAGUGAUCGAAAGAUGAAAAGCACUUUGAAAAGAGAGUUAAAAAGUACGUGAAAUUGUUGAAAGGGAAGCGCUUGAGACCAGACUCGAUCUUUGGUGAUCAUCGGUGCUUCUGUACCGUGCACUCACCAUUGAUUGGGCCAGCAUCGGUUUAGACGGCGGGAUAAAGACCUAAGGAAUGUGGCUCCUCUCGGGGAGUGUUAUAGCCUUGGGUGCAAUGCCGCCAGUCUGGACCGAGGACCGCGCUUCGGCUAGGAUGCUGGCGUAAUGGUCUUCAGCGACCCGUCUUGAAACACGGACCAAGGAGUCUAACAUCUAUGCGAGUGUUCGGGUGGAAAACCCUUGCGCGUAAUGAAAGUGAACGGAGGUGAGAACACUUCGGUGUGCAUCAUCGACCGAUCCUGAUGUCUUCGGAUGGAUUUGAGUAUGAGCAUAGCUGUUGGGACCCGAAAGAUGGUGAACUAUGCCUGAAUAGGGUGAAGCCAGAGGAAACUCUGGUGGAGGCUCGCAGCGGUUCUGACGUGCAAAUCGAUCGUCAAAUUUGGGUAUAGGGGCGAAAGACUAAUCGAACCAUCUAGUAGCUGGUUCCUGC